UUAAGAGAACAACCCGACUAUUCUUUUUCUCUCCCGACUCCCCUCCUAAUGCAGGAGAACUCCUCUCUCUUUAAAUCUCUAACCUUCCCCAAAAUCCUCAACCUCACGCACGCAGUCUCUUUCAUUUAAAAAAAAAAAAAAAAAAAAUCCUAAUGCUAAUGCAGAAAGAGACCUAAUGCAGAAGCAUUCCCUCUCUCACUCUAAAUCUCUAACGUCUAUGGGCUAUGGCGUUCCUGCUACAACGUUUUCAAAGAUAUUGAUUGGACUGGCUCAAUAUAUUCAGAUAAUGGUCAGGAUCGAUAGCCCUCAUGGACUGGCUCGAAUCCCCUAAUGCCCACAUCUUCAAGAUCAAUGUCCCAGAGAAUAGUUGAUUGGCUUGCUGAAAACUUUAAGAUAGAUGAAGGAGCGAAUUGAUAAUGCAAUUAUGUAAGCCUCUAUUGAAAAAAUUAGCGAGAAUAGUUGAUUGGCUUGCUGAAAACUUUAAGAUAGAUGAAGGAGCGAGUCGAUAAUGCAAUUAUUUUGGCAUGGAUAAAGAUCACAACAAGGCGUUAGCAGAAGAGUUGCUCCUUUUCAAGAAUGGCUUCAUUAUGGGCACAGCUGAUUCCUUCGAUAUUUGACAUUUUUUUAGUGAAGUUAUUGAAAAUUUUCAAA